AGGAACCUUUUGAAUAGAUUACUUUUGGGUGUACGAUUGCAUUUUGGGAUUGGGAAUGGAAACGUGGACCAAAGUGUGUAAUUAUUAGUAUAUGUCAAUGUUGUUGUGUUUGGGAAAUGUUGCUCAAAAACUUGAUAUCUCAUUUUGCGGAAGAUUUCUUUUGUAACGAAUAAAAACAUAACUAAUAUA